rnacentral:lncRNA from 1 species
GGAGGUGAGCCUUGGAGAAGCCUUGCUAGGCUUCCCGCCAUCCUACAGUUUCAGGAACCCAUUCUUAUUAUGUCUCCACCUGUGUCAGGCCUUGCCUGAGCCUGUCCCAUCCGUCUGUCCAUCUCCAUACCCAUUCGGAAAGCUCAAGCCGAGGGCUUUCUCACAGGCAGACAAACUGCUAUCUGAUGCCAAAGCCCAUCGUUGCUCUGUUACCCAAUGCCCCACUGGACUUUUAGAACCAGCUCCCAAGACCCUGUCCCCCAGGACAUUGGACACUGGCUUUGUCUCUCCUCUCUGGCCACUGCUGUCAGUCCUAGUCUGUUUUUCUCCUUUGGCUUCUGGUUUGUGCUGCCUGAUGGGCUGGUUAUUUUGACACCCAGGCUCUGGCUGUCUCAAUCCUAGGGUGGUUACAGCCCUUUCCCCUUUGAUCUCCUGGCCCUUGCACACAAUUAAUGACCAGAUCAAUGAUGGUGAUAAUAGUGAACGUGUAUCGGGUGCCCAGCACAGACUGACACUGUGCUUAGGACUUUGUGAGGAUCCCAGUUCACUGUUCACAGCCACCCUAAGUGUUUUUAACCAUCAUCUCCAUUUUUCAGAGGAAGAAACUGAGCCUUGGAGAAUUGGGUCAUUGGUCUAAGGUGACCCAAUAGCCUCUGAGUGCUGAAGGCAGGAUUUGAACUCUGGAGCCAGGGCUCCUCCUACCUGACCAGAUGGAUGAGCCAGGAGGCUCCAGGCUAGCAGAUACCACAUAUAGAGGAACAGCCACAUGGUGGCAAUGACACCAUCCCAGGUUGCUUUAAUUCAGCCCAGCAUGGAAACCUAUGGGACCCCAGGCCUGGUCUUCUGCUCCUUCCCUGCUCCCUUGCUGCCAGCUGUGGUCACAGGCCAACCCAGGUUCCAGCAAGGAAACAGCCUCGUCCUGGUUUGCAGCAUUGGCAAUUGCUCUGGGCAAGCUGCAAGCAAACAGCUGUGACUCCAGUCCCUGAGGUUCCCCUACCCCCAUUACCUGUGUCAACACUUUUAUUUUUAAAUCGGCGGAGCCAGGGUGGGGGCUGAGGGUGGGCGAUGGGGAGGGAGGGAACUGGGCCCUUAUCAGCGCUGGGGUCCUUGCAUAUGUAACACCGUCAUAUAAUUAACAGUGAAGAUCAUUUACAUUGUCGCUUAGCUAAUUUUCAUAAUGUUUUCUUUAUUAUCAGAGGAAGAAAUUAACCCAAGAAUUUAUUUACAUAGCAGCCUCAAACAGUAACAGCUUGCUAAUUGCCUGUUAGGUGAUUAAUAAGCUUACAGCAGAUGCUAAUGCGUCGUGGGCUCCCCGUUUCAAAGGUGCUCUUGCCGCACGCUUGUGUUUUUGGCAGCUUAAUUAGUGCAAUAAUUAUGUACUUGUUGCUCCUUCUUUCGAGCAAAUACUGUCAAAUGCUUAAAAGAUUAAAGUGAAUUAUAUCCUGAGAACUCACAGUGCGUGAGGAUGCCCGUUCUCGCUAACUUCUCUGUUGGCUCAAAAAUAGAAGAGAAUAGAUGAGAGGGGGCUCUGACUUGUCAGUGGGGAGCCAUGUAAAGCUGAGUGGGCUGAGUUCUAGUCGUGGUGUUGCCCCUUGAACCCUGCCUCCGUUUCCCCUCUAUGAAAGGAAGGAUGAAUCAUUGGCAUGGGAAGCGGGGAGGGGACAUAGCAUCAGAUAGACCCAAGCCUAGAGAACAACUAAAUGCAUUAAGUAGAUCUUACUUGGGCCCUGACUGGAACAAACCAGUUGUGAAACGACAUCUUUAAGCUGGUCAGAGAAAUUUGACCCCAGACAGUGCAAUAGAUGAUCUCCAGAGGUCAUUGUAGAUUUUGUUAGGUGGGAUAAGGGCACAAUGGCUAUGCAAAGGAAAAAUAUUGUUUUUAAAAAUUAUAGUUGAUUUACAAUGCUGUGCCAAUUUCUGCUGUACAGUAAAGUGACAAAACUGGAUAUAUAUAUAUACACACAUCUCACACACACACACACACGCACAUAACUGGAGAUACAUAUAUACAUUCCCUAUAUAUUAUUAUCUUCCAUCAUGGUCUACCCCAAGAGAUGGAAUAUAGUUUCCUGUGCUGUACAGUAGGGCCUUGUUGUCUAUCCAUUCUAAAUGUAAUAGUUUCUAUCUACUAACCUCAAGCUCCCAGUCUAUCCUACUCCCUCCCCCGCCACUACCUUGGCAACCACAAGUCUGUUCUCUGUGAGUCUGUUUCUGUUUUGUAGACAGGUUCGUUUGUGCCACAUUUUAGAUUCCAUAUAUAAGUGAUAUCAUAUGGUAUUUGUCUUUCUCUUUCUGACUUAGUUCACUUAGUAUGAGAAUCUCUAGUUGCAUCCAUGUUGCUGCAAGGAAAAAUAUUCUUGUCUGUUAGAUUUUCAUACUUGAGUGUUUAGCAUUGAAAUGGUAUGAGGUCUGCAAUUUAUUUUGAAAUAUUCCAGGCCCCUCCUCAAAAAUGUAGGUCUAGGAGUUCCCAUCCUGGCUCAGCAGAAAUGAAUCCAGCUAGCAUCCAUGAGGAUGCAGGUUUGAUCCCUGGCCUCGCUCAGUGGGUUAAGAAUUCGGCAUUGCCAUGAGCUGUGGUAUAGGUCGCAGGCACAACUUGGAUCUGGUGUUGCUGUGGCUGUGGUUUAGGCCAGUGGCUACGGCUCUGAUUUGACCCCUAGCCUGGGAACCUCCAUAUCCCGUGGGUGCAGCCCUAAAAAGACAAAAAAAAAAAAAAA